AUGGUUCUUACAAAAGGAAUUACAGUUGAGUCAGCUUCAGUUUCCAGUCUUGUUGACAUACUCUGCAGUUGGCACUGUGGCUUACACACUACUCUGAAAAAGUGCCUUACAGAUAUGUGCUUUGACCUGAGGUUUCUUCCUUCACAGAGAAGAUCUACAGUAGGUUCUGGAUAG
rnacentral:lncRNA from 1 species